rnacentral:rRNA from 1 species
AUUGAACGCUGGCGGCAGGCCUAACACAUGCAAGUCGAGCGAGCGGCGGACGGGUGAGUAAUGUCUGGGAAACUGUCUGAUGGAGGGGGAUAACUACUCGAAACGGUAUCUAAUAUCGCAUACCAUCAGAUGUGCCCAGAUGGGAUUAGCUAGUAGGUGGGGUAACGGCUCACCUAGGCGACGAUCCCUAGCUGGUCUGAGAGGAUGACCAGCCACACUGGAACGGAGACACGGUCCAGACUCCUACGGGAGGCAGCAGUGGGGAAUAUUGCACAAGGGGCGCAAGCCUGAUGCAGCCAUGCCGCGUGUAUGAAGAAGGCCUUCGGGUUGUAAAGUACUUUCAGCGGGGAGGCGUUACCCGCAGAAGAAGCACCGGCUAACUCCGUGCCAGCAGCCGCGGUAAUAC